rnacentral:rRNA from 1 species
GCUGAACUUAAGCAUAUCAAUAAGCGGAGGAAAAGAACCAACAGGGAUUGCUUCAGUAACGGCGAGUGAAGCGGCAACAGCCCAGAUUUGAAAUCCGGCUUUCGGGCCCGACUUGUAAUCUGCAGAUGAGUCUUUUGGCGGAGCGCCGUCCAAGUUCCCUGGAACGGGACGCCGGAGAGGGUGAGAGCCCCGUACCGACGUGCGCCGAGUCUUUGCAAAGCUCAUUCGAAGAGUCGAGUAGUUUGGAAAUGCUGCUCAAAUUGUGGGGUAAAUCUCCCAUAAGGCUAAAUACUGGCCAGAGACCGAUAGCGCACAAGUAGCGUGAGCGAAAGAUGAAAAGAGCCUUGAACAAGGGCGUCAAAAAGCAUGUGAAAUUGUUGUGAGGGAAGCGCUCGAUGCCAGACGUGGAGGCGGUUGGUUACCCGGCGUUCUCGCCGGCGCACUCUGCCGUCUCCAGGCCAGCAUCAGUUCGGCUUGGGACUCAAUGCAGCUGGGAACGUGGCUCUUCGGAGUGUUAUAGCCUAGCUGCGACGUCCUGGGCCGGACUGAGGAACGCGCAUCUGCCCGGAUGCUGGCGUAAUGGCUUCUAGCGACCGUCUUGAAACACGGACCAAGGAGUUGACCUAACAUGCGAGUGUUUGGGUGUAAAGCCCUCACGCGCAGUGAAAGCGAACGCAGGUGGGAGUUUCGGCGCACCAUCGACCGAUCCUGAAGUUUACGGAUGGAUUUGAGUAAGAGCAUGUUGGGUCUGACCCGAAAGAAGGUGAACUAUGCAUGAAUAGGGUGAAGCCAGAGGAAACUCUGGUGGAGGCUCGCAGCGGUUCUGACGUGCAAAUCGAUCGUCAAAUUUGUGCAUGGGGGCGAAAGACCAAUCGAACCUUCUAGUAGCUGGUUCCUGCCGAAGUUUCCCUCAGGAUAGCAGAGUUGGACCUCAGUUUCAUGAGGUAAAGCGAAUGAUUAGAGACUCGGGGGCGCUAUAUUGCCUUCAUCUAUUCUCAAACUUUAAAUAUGUGAGAAGCCUUGUGUUACUUUCUUGAACGCAGGCCUUUGAAUGAAUCAACUCUAG